GGACUACUAGGGUUUCUAAUCCCGUUCGCUCCCCUCGCUUUCGCCCCUGAGCGUCAGGUACCAGCCAGGACACUGCCUUCGCCUUUGGUGUUCUUCCGGAUCUCUACGCAUUUCACCACUCCACCCGGAGUUCCAUGUCCCUCUCUGGCCCUCAAGUCCUUCAGUCUGCGCGGCACUCCCUUCGUUAAGCGAAGAGCUGUCACCGCACACUUGAAAAACCGCCUGCGGGCGCUUUACGCCCAGUAACUCCGGACAACGCUCGCCCCCUACGUAUUACCGCGGCGGCUGGCAC
rnacentral:rRNA from 1 species